rnacentral:rRNA from 1 species
UACGUAGGGGGCGAGCGUUGUCCGGAAUCAUUGGGCGUAAAGCGCGUGUAGGCGGUCCGGUAAGUCCGCUGUGAAAGUCGGGGGCUCAACCCUCGGAUGCCGGUGGAUACUGUCGGGCUUGAGUACGGAAGAGGCGAGUGGAAUUCCUGGUGUAGCGGUGAAAUGCGCAGAUAUCAGGAGGAACACCAAUUGCGAAGGCAGCUCGCUGGGACGUUACUGACGCUGAGACGCGAAAGCGUGGGGGAGCAAACAGG